CCCUUAGAUGUUCGGGGCCGCACGCGCGCUACACUGAAGGAAUCAGCGUGCCCUUGUCCUGGUCUGGAAAGACUGGGUAACCCGUUGAACCUCCUUCGUGCUAGGGAUUGGGGCUUGCAAUUAUUCCCCAUGAACGAGGAAUUCCCAGUAAGCGCAAGUCAUCAGCUUGUGUUGAUUACGUCCCUGCCCUUUGUACACACCGCCCGUCGCUACUACCGAUUGAAUGGUUUAGUGAGACCCUCGGAUUCGUCCCAGCACAGUGGGUUUCUGCUGAGCUGGUGCGCGGAGAAGACGGUCGAACUUGAUCAUUUAGAGGAAGUAAAAGUCGUAACA
rnacentral:rRNA from 1 species